AACGUUUGCCGCCGAAUACGUCACUCCCAUUUCUUGCGAGAUUUCUUGACUGCUUCAUUUUCUCUGGCAGUUGCCUCGGUCUAAAGGACCGCGGUCCUCUGGCGGCAAGACGCUUUUAAAUACAAGGCUACUCUCAAAAUCGACCGGCCAUGUUGGUUUGGACACACAUUCGCAUCAGUUCGUCGCUCAAUCACGAGUUACAUCCUGCAGUUUGCUAGCUAGCAAAGGCAUCGACUACCAUCGUUUAAAUACCUUGGCCAGAGCAUAACUGGUUAUCUUCACCCAAGAGACCUACUGUUGGUCAAUCGUUUUGGUUUUAAAGAAGUUGCAUCGAUUCCAGAAAACCAGGAAAAUGUUGAGCCAUCUGUAGACUUCAGAGCUGAACCAGGUUUCUCCCCAGUAAUCCAGACUCCACUUCACAGAGCCAAGAGUUUGAGUACAACUCGUCAAGUACUAAGCUUUACACCACCAGCAGCAAAUUUACCCUGGCAGCAUAUGGGUGAAAACGCUGGAGGUAUGUAAUACGUUGCGCUAAACUAAGUUUUACAUUUAAGUCCAAUUCAUUAAAUGUAUGCAAUUACUUCAAACAUAUUUUUACGUCAAUGAUUAUCAAUAGGAGAAAGUCAUCGCUUUGUUAUUGGCCCUUGGACGCCCCUGGCAUCUUGUGUACAGCACAAAGUUUUCAGCUAUGAAGAUUUCCAGUGACUCUGAGGGAGGAGAACCAAGCUCUGAGGGAGAAGAAAACCAAGGCCUUAGGGAGUGCAAUGCACAAGCAGCUUCGGAUGACAGCGGCUCACUUCAAGAGCAGGUGAAGCAAGUAGGGACAAUGUUGAAGACGU
ensembl:lncRNA